rnacentral:rRNA from 1 species
CGAAGGGGGCUAGCGUUGUUCGGAAUUACUGGGCGUAAAGCGCGCGUAGGCGGUUUUGCAAGCCAGAGGUGAAAUGCCUGAGCUCAACUUAGGAAUUGCCUUUGGGACUGCGAGGCUUUGAGGACUGGAGAGGUGAGUGGAAUUCCCAGUGUAGAGGUGAAAUUCGUAGAUAUUGGGAGGAACACCGGUGGCGAAGGCGGCUCACUGGCCAGUUUCUGACGCUGUAGCGCGAAAGCGUGGGGAUCAAACAGGAUUAGAUACCCUGGUAGUCCACGCUGUAAACGAUGAGUGCUAGGCGUCGGCAUGCUUGCAUGUCGGUGCCGCAGCUAACGCGUGAAGCACUCCGCCUGGGGAGUACGGUCGCAAGAUUA